GUGGCUGUAGUAUAGUGGUAAGUAUCCCGCGUUGUGGCCGUGGAGACCCGGGCUCAAAUCCCGGCAGCCACA
rfam:Brassica rapa chromosome A10, whole genome shotgun sequence.